rnacentral:rRNA from 1 species
GUGGGGAAUAUUGCACAAUGGGCGCAAGCCUGAUGCAGCAACGCCGCGUGAGGGACGACGGCCUUCGGGUUGUAAACCUCUUUUAGCAGGGAAGAAGCGAAAGUGACGGUACCUGCAGAAAAAGCACCGGCUAACUACGUGCCAGCAGCCGCGGUAAUACGUAGGGUGCAAGCGUUGUCCGGAAUUAUUGGGCGUAAAGAGUUCGUAGGCGGUUUGUCGCGUCUGCUGUGAAAACCCGAGGCUCAACCUCGGGCCUGCAGUGGGUACGGGCAGACUAGAGGGCGGUAGGGGAGAUUGGAAUUCCUGGUGUAGCGGUGGAAUGCGCAGAUAUCAGGAGGAACACCGAUGGCGAAGGCAGAUCUCUGGGCCGUAACUGACGCUGAGGAGCGAAAGCGUGGGGAGCGAACAGGAUUAGAAACCCUUGUAGUCC